AGAGUUUGAUCAUGGCUCAGAUUGAACGCUGGCGGUAUGCUUAACACAUGCAAGUCGAACGGUAGCAGGCCUUCGGGCGCUGACGAGUGGCGGACGGGUGAGUAACGCGUAGGAAUCUGCCUCAUAGUGGGGGACAACGUGGGGAAACUCACGCUAAUACCGCAUACGCCCUACGGGGGAAAGCGGGGGAUCUUCGGACCUCGCGCUAUGAGAUGAGCCUGCGUUAGAUUAGCUAGUUGGUAGGGUAAAGGCCUACCAAGGCGACGAUCUAUAGCUGGUCUGAGAGGACGAUCAGCCACACUGGGACUGAGACACGGCCCAGACUCCUACGGGAGGCAGCAGUGGGGAAUAUUGGACAAUGGGCGCAAGCCUGAUCCAGCAAUACCGCGUGUGUGAAGAAGGCCCUAGGGUUGUAAAGCACUUUCAAUUGGGAGGAAAACCUGCCGGUUAAUACCCGGUAGCUUGACAUUACCUAUAGAAGAAGCACCGGCUAACUCCGUGCCAGCAGCCGCGGUAAUACGGAGGGUGCGAGCGUUAAUCGGAAUUACUGGGCGUAAAGCGUGCGUAGGCGGUUCGUUAAGUCAGAUGUGAAAGCCCCGGGCUUAACCUGGGAACGGCAUUUGAAACUGGCGGACUGGAGUUGAGUAGAGGGGAGUGGAAUUUCAGGUGUAGCGGUGAAAUGCGUAGAUAUCUGAAGGAACACCAGUGGCGAAGGCGACUCCCUGGACUCAAACUGACGCUGAGGUACGAAAGCGUGGGUAGCAAACAGG
rnacentral:rRNA from 1 species